UACAGAGGGUGCGAGCGUUAAUCGGAAUUACUGGGCGUAAAGCGCACGUAGGUGGCGACGUAAGUCGGGUGUGAAAUCCCCGGGCUCAACCUGGGAACUGCAUUUGUGACUGCACAGCUGGAGUGCGGCAGAGGGGGAUGGAAUUCCGCGUGUAGCAGUGAAAUGCGUAGAUAUGCGGGGGAACACCGAUGGCGAAGGCAAUCCCCUGGGCCUGCACUGACGCUCAUGCACGAAAGCGUGGGGAGCAAACAGG
rnacentral:rRNA from 1 species